rnacentral:tRNA from 1 species
GCCGCCGUAGCUCAGUGGCCAGAGCACGCGCCUCGUAAGCGCGGGGUCGUGGGUUCGAAUCCCACCGGCGGCU